UAGAAAUUCGCCAGAGAAAAUAAAUUUUACUGUGUCGCUGAAGAAAUCAACGUCUUUAGCACAAUAUAUGCGAAUCAUCCCAAAUGCUAUGUUCAGAAACAGUGAAGUACCAUGGCUGAACCAGAUCCUGUAACAGAAAAGAAAGUACAACAGUACACGACUGUGAUUGUCAUAAGCUGUAUGCCAAGGAUGUCCCUGGCGCUGUUUUACCGCAACUUCAACCAGAAAGAUGCAAAGUUACAGAGUUGCGAAUAUGGUUGAAAUGCCGGGGACAAGCUGUGAAAUCGAAUGAGACAAAAGCCGAACUUUGCUUGAGGGUAAAGAAAUUCAGUGACAACCAGGAUAACAUCCUAAUUGUGGAUCCUUAUCCAGACCAGCCAUUUGCAGCUAAGCAGAAGUCGUCCUGUAUGAACUGUCAAGGACAAUCAACAGUGUCAACAGCGGAAGAACAUCUUAAUUUGGAAGAAUGCACAUGGACCCAAAGCACCAGACCGAUCUUCAAAGACUUUUCGUACAUGAACAUUCUGGAAUGGACCAAAAGUUCUGGUAAAGGUUCAAAACUGGGUGUUGAAAAGCCUAUUCAACGAGGCUAUGUGUUUUUUCAUGACGGUUAUGUAUUCGACACAUGGACAUCUGAACGUAACAGUUCAACAAUUGUUAGAUGCAAGUGUUUCCGCUCCAUGAAAAACCGGUAAUCAGAAAUAAAGAGUAUUGAAAUAAUCUAAAUUAUAUUUGAAAGUAUUCAAUUUUGUGUUAUUUUAGUGUCAGUAUUUGUGAGAUUCACCUCAAAUCACAUUUAUUCAUUCAAUAUAAUCAUAGGAUCUCAGCUCAUUUUGGUGCAAUACCUGUAUCUGAAUGUUUGUAAUUUUCAGAUUGUGUUUCCUUAAAUUAGUUUAUGAUUUCUAGCUUUCACAUGUUGUCUUUCAUCAUUAAUCUUACAAUUAAUGAUACUUCAUACUGUUUUGUGAUGAACUAUGCUACUCAAAUGUGCUUAUCUUGCAUUAUUUCUGUUGUAAUAAAGCUUAUAUCAUUGAUUACAAAGUGUUUUUACUCAAAGGAUUACGCAAAUCUGUAGCAGAGUCUUAGUGAAAUAGUUGCUAUGGUGUCUGCUAAGCAAUCUGGAGCAACCAGUUUCGAUCCCCAUUGAGAAUCAGUAAUGGUUCUUCCCAGGAAACGAACUUAAGUACUGAUUUGUCUCAAUAUGCAUUGGACUUUCUUAGUUUUACCUAAUAUUUCCCAAAAAAAACUAAAAUUUCUAUUAACAAAAUUAUUUAUUCAGUAGUCAUACAAUCAAAACAAAUUAACAAACAUGAUUAAAAAGAUGUAUAUACAAUUUUUAUGUAAAGGCCACACACCUUAUUUGGCAUAGUAAAUUUAAGUAUGAGUGACAUAUUUUAUCUAUGCCAAUUAGAAUAUAUCUGGUGGUUACAAGGUAGAAAUCCAUCUUUUUUGCACUUUACAACUUAAAAAUAAUCGCGUUUGUCGAAAUGGAUGUGUACGUCUGGAAAUCCUACUUUCGGUUUUAAAAGCAGUACUGUUUGAAAAAAAAAAAUAACUUGCUAUUAAACUAGGCUAUAGAUUUAAUUUUAUUAUGCCAACUAGAAUAUAUCUGGUGGUAACAAGGUAGAAAGCCAUCUUUUUUUGCGCUUUAAAAAGUUAAAAAUAAUCGUGUUUAAUAUAGAAAUCCUUCUUUCAGUUUUAAAAGCAGUUAUUCCUGUUUGAAAAAUAAUAAAUUACUUGCUAACUAGACUAUAGAUUUAAUGAAAAUUUUGCACACUUUCAAAUUGCAUCUAUAUGAACAUGUACUUUAUUUCAAGGUGUGUAGCUUUAAGUACUCUUUAAGCAUUAAUCUGUAACUAAAUCAAUGCUUAUAUCAAGAUAAUUAUCAAAAACUUUAUACAAAGCCAAAAAAUGUACAAAUAUUACAUGAACAGCCAAUGGUUUUUCAUUAGCCUACAUGUAGUAUGAUGUACACGAACAACAAAUGUUCAUAUAAAUGGUAUGUAUGUUAAACACCAGGACAUGGUAUAAUUGGGUCUUGGAAAAGAGUGAGCAAUGAGCAAACUGUCCAAAUUUGAUUAAUUAUCCCAAACAGAGAAACCAGAAUGACCUGAUCAAAUAUGUGAAAACUUUUAAUCUUGUUAAUUGCACGUUCCACUUGAAUUCGCUUCAACAGAUGUGGUUUGUCCUUCCAGCAGUCGAAUAGUGUAGGGAUGGCUCCUGGUUUUAGAUACCUCCGCUUAGCAAAUCCAGAUUCAUCAAGACAGUCACGUUCAAAAUGGAGAAAACAGACAACCGUAUUGUGACUUAUCUGAAAGAAAAAAAAAGAAUAAAUAAAUAUGUGUGCUUUUUUUGAAUCACAUGAACACUAUUUUUCUGACAUGAAAAUGUAUAGUACUUUACAUGUUUUAUUUUUCUUUAUACAAAAUCAUUUAAAUUUUACUGAAACCACUAACAACUGACCUUAAAAUGUCUGUCUUCAUCUCUUCGUAUUUUAUUCAACCAAACAGCUUGAACUGGAUCAUCUUCAGCUGGAAAUGCAUGAUAGCUGGGCUUUCCAUGGCCUUCUAACAAUCCUUAGC